rnacentral:rRNA from 1 species
UACGGGGGGGGCAAGCGUUGUUCGGAAUUACUGGGCGUAAAGGGCGCGUAGGCGGCCCGCUAAGUCAGACGUGAAAUCCCUCGGCUCAACCGGGGAACUGCGUCUGAUACUGGCAGGCUUGAAUCCGGGAGAGGGAUGUGGAAGUCCAGGUGUAGCGGUGAAAUGCGUAGAUAUCUGGAGGAACACCGAUGGCGAAGGCAGCCAUCUGGACCGACACUGACGCUGAGGCGCGAAAGCGUGGGGAGCAAACAGG